rnacentral:rRNA from 1 species
UACGUAGGGUGCAAGCGUUGUCCGGAAUUAUUGGGCGUAAAGAGCUCGUAGGCGGUUUGUCGCGUCUGCUGUGAAAACCCGAGGCUCAACCUCGGGCCUGCAGUGGGUACGGGCAGACUAGAGUGCGGUAGGGGAGAUUGGAAUUCCUGGUGUAGCGGUGAAAUGCGCAGAUAUCAGGAGGAACACCAGUGGCGAAGGCGGUCUCUGGGCCGA